rnacentral:piRNA from 1 species
UCCUAACAUCAAAAGGAACAAACUCCAGACGC